rnacentral:rRNA from 1 species
GACAGAGGAUGCAAGCGUUAUCCGGAAUGAUUGGGCGUAAAGCGUCUGUAGGUGGCUUUUUAAGUCCGCCGUCAAAUCCCAGGGCUCAACCCUGGACAGGCGGUGGAAACUACCAAGCUGGAGUACGGUAGGGGCAGAGGGAAUUUCCGGUGGAGCGGUGAAAUGCGUAGAGAGUCGGGAGGAACACCAGUGGCGAAGGCGGCUACCUGGACCAGCACUGACACUGAGGCACGAAAGCGUGGGGAGCAAACAGGG